rnacentral:rRNA from 1 species
AUUGAACGCUGGCGGCAUGCUUUACACAUGCAAGUCGAACGGUAACAGGUUAAGCUGACGAGUGGCGAACGGGUGAGUAAUGCAUCGGAACGUGCCCGAUCGUGGGGGAUAACGCAGCGAAAGCUGCGCUAAUACCGCAUACGAUCUGAGGAUGAAAGCGGGGGACCGUAAGGCCUCGCGCGAUCGGAGCGGCCGAUGUCAGAUUAGGUAGUUGGUGGGGUAAAGGCUCACCAAGCCAACGAUCUGUAGCUGGUCUGAGAGGACGACCAGCCACACUGGGACGGGGACACGGCCCAGACUCCGACGGGAGGCAGCAGUGGGGAAUUUUGGACAAUGGGCGAAAGGCUGAUCCAGCAAUGCCGCGUGCAGGAAGAAGGCCUUCGGGUUGUAAACUGCUUUUGUACGGAGCGAAAAGGCUCUCUCUAAUACAGGGGGCUCAUGACGGUACCGUAAGAAUAAGCACCGGCUAACUACGUGCCAGCCGCCGCAGUAA